GACGAACGCUGGCGGCGUGCCUAAUACAUGCAAGUCGAACGGUUUAGUUCCAAGAGGCGUGGCUGUUGGGACUAGGCAGUGGCGGACGGGUGAGUAACACGUAGGCAACCUACCUGUCAAACCGGGAUAACCUCGGGAAACCGAAGCUAAACCCGGAUAAGCUCCUUUUUCGCAUGGAGGGGGAGUGAAAAGGUGCGACCUGAUGACAGAUGGGCCUGCGGCGCAUUAGCUAGUAGGUAGGGUAACGGCCUACCUAGGCGAUGAUGCGUAGCCGACCUGAGAGGGCGUACGGCCACACUGGGACUGAGAUACGGCCCAGACUCCUACGGGAGGCAGCAGUAGGGAAUCUUCGGCAAUGGGCGAAAGCCUGACCGAGCAACGCCGCGUGAGUGAGGAAGGCCUUCGGGUUGUAAAACUCUGUUGUUUGGGAAGAAGGGAAAGGGUAGGACCCUUUGGUGACGGUACCAAACGAGAAAGCCCCGGCUAACUACGUGCCAGCCGCCGCCGUAA
rnacentral:rRNA from 1 species